UACGAAGGGGGCUAGCGUUGCUCGGAAUUACUGGGCGUAAAGCGCACGUAGGCGGUCUUUUAAGUCGGGGGUGAAAUCCUGGAGCUCAACUCCAGAACUGCCUUCGAUACUGGAAGACUUGAGUCCGGGAGAGGUGAGUGGAACUGCGAGUGUAGAGGUGAAAUUCGUAGAUAUUCGCAAGAACACCAGUGGCGAAGGCGGCUCACUGGCCCGGUACUGACGCUGAGACGCGAAGGCGUGGGGAGCGAACGGG
rnacentral:rRNA from 1 species